rnacentral:rRNA from 1 species
UACGGGGGGAGCGAGCGUUGUUCGGAUUUACUGGGCGUAAAGGGCGCGUAGGCGGCGUGACAAGUCACUUGUGAAAUCUCCGGGCUUAACUCGGAACGGUCAAGUGAUACUGUCGUGCUAGAGUACAGAAGGGGCAACUGGAAUUCUCGGUGUAGCGGUGAAAUGCGUAGAUAUCGAGAGGAACACCUGCGGCGAAGGCGGGUUUGCUGGGCUGAUACUGACGCUGAGGCGCGAAAGCCAGGGAGCGAACGGG